rnacentral:rRNA from 1 species
CCUACGGGAGGUAGCAGUGAGGAAUAUUGGUCAAUGGCCGGAAGGCUGAACCAGCCAUGCCGCGUGAAGGUCAGUGCCCUAUGGGCGUUAAACUUCUUUUGUGCGGGAGCAAUAAUGGUCACGUGUGGCCAGACGAGAGUACCGUACGAAUAAGCAUCGGCUCACUCCGUGCCAGCAGCCGCGGUAAUACGGGGGAUGCAAGCGUUAUCCGGAUUUAUUGGGUUUAAAGGGUGCGUAGGCUGUGAGGUAAGUCAGCGGUGAAAUGCCCCCGCUCAACGGGGUGAAGUGCCAUUGAUACUGCCUGGCUGGAAUGCGGAUGCCGUGGGAGGAAUGUGUGGUGUAGCGGUGAAAUGCAUAGAUAUCACACAGAACACCGAUUGCGAAGGCAUCUCACGAAGCCGCGAUUGACGCUGAUGCACGAAAGCGUGGGUAUCAAACAGGAUUAGAUACCCGAGUAGUC